CCCUUAGAUGUUCUGGGCUGCACGCGCGCUACACUGAAGCUAUCAACACGUUUUCCCUCCCUGAGAAGGGCGGGUAACCUUUUGAAUCAGCUUCGUGGUAGGGAUCGGGGCUUGCAAUUGUUCCCCGUGAACCAGGAAUUCCUAGUAGACGCGAGUCAUAAGCUCGCAUCGAUUAAGUCCCUGCCCUUUGUACACACCGCCCGUCGCUACUACCGAUUGAACGUUUUAGUGAGGCAUUUGGACCGACGCAUCUCAGUUUAACCGCUGGUUUGUGUUGGAAAGACUUCCAAACUUGAGCGUUUAGAGGAAGUAAAGGUCGUAACA
rnacentral:rRNA from 1 species